CUACGGGACGCAGCAGUGAGGAAUAUUGGUCAAUGGGCGUAAGCCUGAACCAGCCAUCCCGCGUGCAGGAAGACGGCGCUAUGCGUUGUAAACUGCUUUUCCAGGGAAAGAAAACCCCCGACGUGUCGGGGCUUGCCGGUACCCUGGGAAUAAGCAUCGGCUAACUCCGUGCCAGCAGCCGCGGUAAUACGGAGGAUGCAAGCGUUAUCCGGAUUUAUUGGGUUUAAAGGGUGCGUAGGCGGAUUAAUAAGUCAGUGGUGAAAACCUUCAGCUUAACUGGAGACUUGCCAUUGAUACUGUUAGUCUUGAGUACGGUCAAGGUAGGCGGAAUGUGUGAUGUAGCGGUGAAAUGCUUAGAUAUUACACAGAACACCGAUUGCGAAGGCAGCUUACUGGGCCAUUACUGACGCUGAGGCACGAAAGCGUGGGGAGCGAACAGGAUUAGAUACCCCCGUAGUC
rnacentral:rRNA from 1 species